GAGGGGAUAGCUCAGUGGUAGAGCACGUGCUUAGCACGCACGUGGUCCUGAGUUCAAUCCCCAGCACCUCCA
rnacentral:tRNA from 1 species